AAGACAGCAUGUAAGGGCCGUUGCUGGAAAUGGUGCAGGAAGAAGCAAAAGCCUGCUGAAAGGAGGGCGUCGAGGACGCAUCAGCCCGGAGCAUCGUGGAUUUGGGUCCGAUGGGGCUCUCUGACAUCCCCACAGCGUGAGUGAGCGUCUCAGGGCAGCUUCGUGGUUCUGUAGCGGGAACACAGGAAGCAGAGAGACCUCGGUUGUAGGACUGGAGAAGUCAUAAUCUCUGCUGCUUUUGCAUGUUCCACAAGAAACAGUGCUGACU
rnacentral:lncRNA from 1 species